AACGAACGCUGGCGGCAUGCCUAACACAUGCAAGUCGAACGAGACCUUCGGGUCUAGUGGCGCACGGGUGCGUAACGCGUGGGAACCUGCCCUUAGGUUCGGAAUAACUCCCCGAAAGGGGUGCUAAUACCGGAUAAUGUCUUCGGACCAAAGAUUUAUCGCCUUUGGAUGGGCCCGCGUUGGAUUAGCUAGUUGUUAGGGUAAAAGCCUACCAAGGCGACGAUCCAUAGCUGGUCUGAGAGGAUGAUCAGCCACACUGGGACUGAGACACGGCCCAGACUCCUACGGGAGGCAGCAGUGGGGAAUAUUGGACAAUGGGCGAAAGCCUGAUCCAGCAAUGACGCGUGAGUGAUGAAGGCCUUAGGGUUGUAAAGCUCUUUUACCCGGGAUGAUAAUGACAGUACCGGGAGAAUAAGCUCCGGCUAACUCCGUG
rnacentral:rRNA from 1 species